rnacentral:lncRNA from 10 species
UUUUCACUUGACCUCCUGUGCCUGUUAGUUCCCAUGCAGUUCUGAAUUGGUCUUUUGAGCUUUUAGCUAUCGCCAAAGCCUCUGACUGUUCUUCUCUCAAGGCACUUCACUGGGCCUGACUGCAGAAGCACUGCCUGGAGGUGUAGGAAACAUCUCACAAAAAUGGAGCUGAAGGCCAUGGUCUCGGAUGAAAGAGGACAGAGCUCAAAAUAGGUGGCACCAUUCCAUGAUCUGGCAGCUGGAGCAGCAGGAGGGGAGGGGCCAAGUGGAUGCCAGGAACCUGAUAGCCAAUGGAAAGGAAAGAUAAGGAGGACAGUUGGAACCGCAUGGGUGACAGAAGGUGACCUGGAGGGAAGGUGAGAUCAGGAAGACAGUAAUGAAAAGCGACUGAAGA